AACGGCCGCGGUAUCCUAACCGUGCGAAGGUAGCGUAAUCAUUUGUUCCUUAAAUGAGGACUAGUAUGAAUGGCCACAUGAGGGUCCAACUGUCUCCUGUGAUUAAUCAAUGAACCUGAUCUCCUAGUACAAAAGCUGGGAUAAACUCAUAAGACGAAAAGACCCUGUGGAGCUUUAAACAAAAACCAAUAUAUACCAUUAACCCUGCCCGGUGAAAUCAUAAUAUGCCUUGGUUAUAGUUUUAAGUUGGGGUGACUGCGGGGUAUAACAAAACCCCCGUGACAAGGCACGUAUCAUAGACAGACAUGUCCCCGACACCGCCUAUUGACCCAGUAUAACUGAUUAACGAACCAAGUUACCCCAGGGAUAACAGCGCCAUCCUCUUCAAGAGUCCUUAUCGCCAAGGGGGUUUACGACCUC
rnacentral:rRNA from 1 species